GGAUGAGUUGCGAACGGGUGAGUAACGCGUAGGUAACCUGCCUGGUAGCGGGGGAUAACUAUUGGAAACGAUAGCUAAUACCGCAUAAAAUUGAUUAUCGCAUGAUAAUCAAUUGAAAGGUGCAAAUGCAUCACUACCAGAUGGACCUGCGUUGUAUUAGCUAGUUGGUGGGGUAACGGCUCACCAAGGCGACGAUACAUAGCCGACCUGAGAGGGUGAUCGGCCACACUGGGACUGAGACACGGCCCAGACUCCUACGGGAGGCAGCAGUAGGGAAUCUUCGGCAAUGGACGGAAGUCUGACCGAGCAACGCCGCGUGAGUGAAGAAGGUUUUCGGAUCGUAAAGCUCUGUUGUAAGAGAAGAACGAGUGUGAGAGUGGAAAGUUCACACUGUGACGGUAUCUUACCAGAAAGGGACGGCUAACUACGUGCCAGCAGCCGCGGUAAUACGUAGGUCCCGAGCGUUGUCCGGAUUUAUUGGGCGUAAAGCGAGCGCAGGCGGUUAGAUAAGUCUGAAGUUAAAGGCUGUGGCUUAACCAUAGUACGCUUUGGAAACUGUUUAACUUGAGUGCAAGAGGGGAGAGUGGAAUUCCAUGUGUAGCGGUGAAAUGCGUAGAUAUAUGGAGGAACACCGGUGG
rnacentral:rRNA from 1 species